rnacentral:lncRNA from 1 species
CCUUGCCUCUCUUUUUUCCCCCUCUCCUAAUCUGUCAGUGUAAUUUUGUGAGGCCCUCAUCUCUGUGGAUGGGAAUGGGAUGGGGGACGGAAUCCUCCUCUUCUUCUUAUGGAAGUCCCUUGUAGUAGCUGUAUAAUGAUGAUUGCACUAGGUUGGUUGAUCACGCCUCAUGAUUGGGAGGCCCAUCACCAUCACCAUCACUUUCCUAGCUGAACAAUGAUGGUUGCGCUCUGCAGCCGUAGGCCGGGAGCCCGCAUCAGUAUUGAACAAACAUGUGCCACUGCCAAUGGCGCCGGAAGCGCAUAGAGGUAUACCGCAGCUAAUGAUAGCCCAGGUGAGAGGCCUACUAAGUCCCCAGCUUCCUACUGGUCAAUGCAUCUUUGGUUUUGUUUUAAUGGAGUUCUAUUCAGCUUGUGUAAUCAAACUGUUAGUCCCAAAAACAGUUUACUGAAACUGCUGCCACUCUGGUUCAGUUAAGACUUGGGAGUCUGAACUGUUGUGUUAGACAUAAGUAGAAGUACACCUGCAAACUAAUUAGUUGUUGGGAGAAAAACAUUUUAUAAACACGUAUUCACACUCAACCUUGAUUAGGAAAUUAUUGGUUUUGAACUGUCCAUGAUUUAGAUGAAUCCAGGUCUUCAAUUUAAUCUAUAUGCCGCUAGUAGGAAACUUUGGAACUUGAAAACCCAAAUCUGUUUUAGUCCUCCUAGUUUAGCUUUAUAGAGAAAACACUGAUUUCUAAUUGAUUUAGCCUAUUCUAAUAGUUUUGAGUAAGUUCUUGGGGAUGAGUCUAUAAGUCUGUUCAGUGUUCAGCUCUACUUGAUUGUAAUUCAUUUGCUCUAGCUUUCACAAAAAACUAAUUAUCUGGUACACUUUAGAACUAUCCUGUGAACAUUGAUUGGCUGCAGAUGAGCCAUGUGUCUCAGAAGUCUGAAGGAUUGUUCAUCAUAGAAAUGUUCAGUUGAUAGAUUUAUGAGUUGUCCUGAAUUCGGCGUCCAUGACCAAACCCAGGUACCUACAAACUCCCCUUUGUUCUGUUUUAGACCAACUAUGUUUUUCUGCAAGUCAAAUAGACCGUAAUACUAGUAACAUUGUGUAGCUAGAUAGGUCAUUGUUGGUUCUGAUGCUUAUUGAUUGACACACCAAGUGUUGUUACUGCUGAUGAUUACUAGUACUACAGCAAUAAUACAUCUGCAACCAAGAGUUAAAUGGAAAUGACAUGACAGUAAUGGGUACAAUGUUGGUAAUACAUCUGUUGUUGUUGAUGCCUUCUUGCUUGCUUGCGAAUGACCUGGGAAUUACUUCUACUUGGCGCACAACCUUUGCUUGUUGCAAUUUGCCUCAAAAGCUUGGAUUAAGAAUCUAUAAUAAGACUUGGUACUGCCUUCGAAUUCCUUAUCUUCUUUCACUUGUGGUCAUGCCUAGCACUGUAUCCUUCUUAAGUUUGGUUUCCCAAAUUUCUAGGAUUGGUCUGUUUGGUACUGCUUAUAAUUCAUAUAUACUAUGCUGCUGCUAUAUGCUUUUGUUUCUGCUAUUGUUACUUAGUUCUCUAUAGGUUACUGUUAUACUGUACUAAUGCUCCAGGUUCUUUGUGAGUUCCUAGUAGUUGUCUUGGUUCAUUGUUUAAUUCAAGGAUUUGUUAGUUCCUAGUAGGGAACACAUGGACAUGAAGCUGCAGCGGCGACGACGAUAUUGACAUGGGGCUGCGGCGGCGACGACGACAACGACGACAUCAGAACGGUGCUGCUGCGGCGGCGACGAUGACAACAUCUUCACGGUGCUGCGACGACGAUGACAUCAACGCGGGCUUGAGGAGUCGCCGACGCCGACGACCUAUACGCGUGGUGUAUAUUGUGUAUAUAUAUGUAUAUAUAUAUAUAUAUGUGUGUGUGUGUGUGUGUGUGUGUGUAUUAAUUAUCUAUAUCGGUAUGUAUGAUUGAUUGUAUGCAUAAGAUGUACAUAUUAUGAAAUGCAUGUAUGUGAGUACUAUGAAAUGUAUGUCUAAAGUGAAA